AGCAACUUGUACUGUGAAACUGCGAAUGGCUCAUUAAAUCAGUUAUCGUUUAUUUGAUAGUACCUUACUACAUGGAUACCUGUGGUAAUUCUAGAGCUAAUACAUGCUAAAAACCCCGACUUCAGGAAGGGGUGUAUUUAUUAGAUAAAAAACCAACGCCCUUCGGGGCUCCUUGGUGAAUCAUAAUAACUUAACGAAUCGCAUGGCCUUGCGCCGGCGAUGGUUCAUUCAAAUUUCUGCCCUAUCAACUUUCGAUGGUAGGAUAGUGGCCUACCAUGGUGGCAACGGGUAACGGGGAAUUAGGGUUCGAUUCCGGAGAGGGAGCCUGAGAAACGGCUACCACAUCCAAGGAAGGCAGCAGGCGCGCAAAUUACCCAAUCCCGAUACGGGGAGGUAGUGACAAUAAAUACUGAUACGGGGCUCUUUUGGGUCUCGUAAUUGGAAUGAGAACAAUUUAAAUCCCUUAACGAGGAACAAUUGGAGGGCAAGUCUGGUGCCAGCAGCCGCGGUAAUUCCAGCUCCAAUAGCGUAUAUUAAAGUUGUUGCAGUUAAAAAGCUCGUAGUUGAACCUUGGGUCUGGCUGGCCGGUCCGCCUCACCGCGAGUACUGGUCCGGCUGGACCUUUCCUUCUGGGGAACCUCAUGGCCUUCACUGGCUGUGGGGGGAACCAGGACUUUUACUGUGAAAAAAUUAGAGUGUUCAAAGCAGGCCUUUGCUCGAAUACAUUAGCAUGGAAUAAUAGAAUAGGACGUGUGGUUCUAUUUUGUUGGUUUCUAGGACCGCCGUAAUGAUUAAUAGGGAUAGUCGGGGGCGUCAGUAUUCAGCUGUCAGAGGUGAAAUUCUUGGAUUUGCUGAAGACUAACUACUGCGAAAGCAUUCGCCAAGGAUGUUUUCAUUAAUCAGGGAACGAAAGUUAGGGGAUCGAAGACGAUCAGAUACCGUCGUAGUCUUAACCAUAAACUAUGCCGACUAGGGGAUCGGAACGGGAUUCUAUAAUGACCCGUUCGGCACCUUACGAGAAAUCAAAGUUUUUGGGUUCUGGGGG
rnacentral:rRNA from 1 species